CAUGCAAUAUUGCUAAUCUGCUGUAUCCCUUAGUUUGCCACAGUUCAUUGGCACUAUUAUUGAUAUUGAUGGCUUUAUUUUUUCCAGACAUUAAGUGAGCAAUUCAUCAAGAGAACAACAAAGACUGGAAUAGAAAGAUAAAACAUCCAGGUCAUGCCAACAUAGCAUUAGCCAUGCCAAGGAUGGUGAAUUGCAAUGAUUCUCUAAUAGAUUUUCCCCACUCAUCCUUGGAACAUUUCUUACUUAAUGAGCUCCUUGCUACUCAAGAAGCCUCAGGCUGUGGUGGAACCUGGGUCUUUCCUGUUCACUGCUGAGAGAAAGCAGUUGUUUCAGCCCUCAAAAGAUGAAAUGUUUUUGUUUGACUCGAUUUGUUGGCUGUAAUAUAAGCUAUUUGGGAAAAAUGGUUGUGAAUGGGAGGAUGUGAAUACUGGAGGUUAGAAUACAUGACCUAAAUGUCUUAACUGCUUUUAAAACUUACAGACUAGGAAAGUCAUUAGCAGUUAUUUGUAUAGUUUUUCUUAGAAAGUCCUUUCUUUUCUGUACCUAUGUCAUACCUCAAUCAUUUUGGUAAAAGAAAGGAAAAAUGUAAUUCACUGCAAGAAAAAGCUCUCAAAAUAAAGGUAAUGUAAAGAAUUUCAAAGGAUUUGUUUCACUUAAUCUUUACAACACAGAUUAAAUGUGUCUGAAACUUAAUUGCCAUCCUGCUUUCACAUUAUG